GAUAUGGCUCAGAACGAACGCUGGUGGCGUGUCUUAUACAUGCAAGUCGAGCGAGGCAGCAAUGCCGAGCGGCGAACGGGUGAGUAACGCGUAAGCAAUCUGCCCCAUAUCAGGAAAUACCCGUGCCAACGCGCGGUUAAUGUCCAGGAGAGUGGCCAGCUGCAUGGCUGGUUGACUAGAGAUUUAUCGGUAUGGGAUGAGCUUGCGUCCGAUUAGCUAGUUGGCGGGGCAACGGCCCACCAAGGCGACGAUCGGUAGCCGGCCUGAGAGGGUGAUCGGCCACAUUGGGACUGAGAUACGGCCCAGACUCCUACGGGAGGCAGCAGUAGGGAAUAUUGCACAAUGGGGGAAACCCUGAUGCAGCAACGCCACGUGUGGGAAGAAGCAUUUCGGUGUGUAAACCACUGUCAUGAGGGAAUAAGGCCCGCCUUCGGACGGGAUUGAAUGUACCUUGAGAGGAAGCACCGGCAAACUUCGUGCCAGCCGCGGC
rnacentral:rRNA from 1 species